AGUGAACGCUGGCGGUAGGCCUAACACAUGCAAGUCGAACGGCAGCACAGUAAGAGCUUGCUCUUACGGGUGGCGAGUGGCGGACGGGUGAGGAAUACAUCGGAAUCUACUUUUUCGUGGGGGAUAACGUAGGGAAACUGACGCUAAUACCGCAUACGACCUACGGGUUAAAUCAGUGGAUCUUCGGACCUUGCGCGAUUGAAUGAGCCGAUGUCGGAUUAGCUAGUUGGCGGGGUAAAGGCCCACCAAGGCGACGAUCCGUAGCUGGUCUGAGAGGAUGAUCAGCCACACUGGAACUGAGACACGGUCCAGACUCCUACGGGAGGCAGCAGUAGGGAAUAUUGGACAAUGGGCGAAAGCCUGAUCCAGCCAUACCGCGUGGGUGAAGAAGGCCUUCGGGUUGUAAAGCCCUGUUGUUGGGAAAGAAAAGCAGCAGGAUAAUACCCCGCUGUUCUGACGGUACCCAAAGAGUAAGCACCGGCUAACUUCGUG
rnacentral:rRNA from 1 species